rnacentral:rRNA from 1 species
GGUGGGGAUGACGUCAAGUCCUCAUGGCCCUUAUAGGUGGGGCUACACACGUCAUACAAUGGCCGGUACAGAGGGUAGCCAACCCGCGAGGGGGAGCCAAUCCCACAAAAGCCGGUCGUAGUCCGGAUCGCAGUCUGCAACUCGACUGCGUGAAGUCGGAAUCGCUAGUAAUCGCGGAUCAGCAUGUCGCGGUGAAUACGUUCCCGGGUCUU